UCCAUAGAGCAGUGUGAUCAGAACUUUUGCGAUGUGUUCUUUGAAGGCUUGUGUGGCUUAGGAACCAACAAAUAAAGAGGACAUGUCUUAACUAAUAUUGUCCUCAUUUAGGCAACCUAGGCCUCUACAAAAUCAUCAGUUUUAAAGGACGAUAAAUAUAAAAUAAAGAUAUAUUCUGUCUCUGCAUUAGCUGUUGACAGACCUGGAGGUCCAGAAAAUUAACUCUCUUUCUAUUCCUGGAACAGACCAAUACAAUUACUUGAAGGACAAUCUCUUGCUGGAAAUGCAGGUGAUCAGCAAUGAAGAGCCAAGAAGGGAGAGCGUGCCCAGGUUCCUGAGAGCAGUGCAGUGGGAUUCAGUCAUCUUUAUUUCCUUCAGCUUGAGCACAGAGAAGCAAAAGGAGAGAUUAAGACCAAGGAUGGGAUCAGCCUGUGGCGGGAAAAGUCAAACUGUAGCAAACCUUCUGGGCCAAUCCAUCUGACUGGCUGUGCAGGGGAUGGGGCAGCCUGGAUAAUUGAUGGACUCAAUCUGACCAGGCACAGGUGGCACGGAGACGGCAUACAGCAGCUUCUCGGGUUUGCCAGUGCCAUCUGUUGCCAUAAGAACAUCUGUCGUCAAGGUCACCCUGUCACCCUCUGUUAAAGUUACAGGUUUGUUGUGAAGAAUUAAUAAUAAUAACACGAAGAAUUACUGAAUAAUUAAAAGAAAAAGUACGCAUAAUUUUAAAAAAGGACUUCCCUGUAAAAGGUUUGCCAAAAGAUUAUUGUCAUUGUUCUCUCUCGCUAAAACCUUAGCUCAUUUCA
rnacentral:lncRNA from 1 species